UGGGGAAUUUUGGACAAUGGGGGAAACCCUGAUCCAGCCAUCCCGCGUGUGCGAUGAAGGCCUUCGGGUUGUAAAGCACUUUUUGCAGGAAAGAAACGUCAUGGGUUAAUACCCCGUGAAACUGACGGUACCUUCAGAAUAAGCACCGGCUAACUACGUGCCAGCAGCCGCGGUAAUACGUAGGGUGCAAGCGUUAAUCGGAAUUACUGGGCGUAAAGCGUGCGCAGGCGGUUCGGAAAGAAAGAUGUGAAAUCCCAGAGCUCAACUUUGGAACUGCAUUUUUAACUACCGGGCUAGAGUGUGUCAGAGGGAGGUGGAAUUCCGCGUGUAGCAGUGAAAUGCGUAGAUAAGCGGAGGAACACCGAUGGCGAAGGCAGCCUCCUGGGAUAACACUGACGCUCAUGCACGAAAGCGUGGGGAGCAAACAGG
rnacentral:rRNA from 1 species